AAAUUUAAUUUCUGAAAAAAGUAAAAUAAGAAAGAAAAACCCCAAAUGAAUUUUUUCUCUCAACUCCACCUCCCAGAACCGCAGUUGUUCUUCAUUUCCUCCCUUAUUCUGAUUCUUCCACUUAAAACCCUCCAACAAAACCACCGUGUUUUAGUUGUAUACCACCUCUAAUCGGCGGUGUCACUCCCAUUGUUGAUUUUCGAUUUGGAGGACUCCCAUCCAUCUCUCAUCCUCUGCCGCUGUUAUUCUCGGCGUUCACGACAAUGUAUACCAUCUUUUCCUUAUCUAUUUUCUCCACUUUUCUUUUUGGCAUCGAUUUUUUUAGAUUUUAUGUUGAUUUAUUAGUGAUUUUAUAGAUCUAAAAAGUGUUUGUAUACAUUCUGUUGCUGAUAUGAUGUUCGAAAUAAUGUUAAAUAUAUUUGGUGGGUUUGUGUUGGUGUUAUUUUAUGUCUAACUAGUUUUAUAUGCACGCGAUGCGUGCGAGAUUAUAAAUAAAUUAAUAUUGUGUUAUUGCAACUAAUCACCACAAAUAAUAAUAAGAAAAAUAGUAUACAAAGUUUGAUCAUCAAAAGAAAAAACUUCCGUAUAUAAAUGAACCAUCCUGAAACCUUUUGAUGAAGUUUUCAACAUGAGCCGAGAAAAUAGUACAUUCUACGCCCUCACCCUACGAAAAAAUACAAAAAAGACAAAAAAAAGUUGUGUCAUAGAAAAAUAACAUAAUAAAAUUGACUAACAUAAUAAAAUUGGCUAAUAUAAAACAUUUACUUCGACAUCCAAAAAACAUUUACCACAUUUACCAAAUUGAAAAAAUCAUAAUUAAAAAUCAUCAUAUAACAAUAUUUUAGAAUAAAAGAAAUAUUACAUAAAAUUACAAAAUAUAUGAAUAUUCAUAUCACAUAAAAAUAAGUUACGGAGUUGAAUAAAUUUAAUUGUAAUGACAAAAAACUAAUGCCCCUAAAGUAGCAAUUUGCACGCGACAUUAUUGUAAAGUAUGUAUUUAAAAUAAAAUUUAUUGAAGUACUUAGAAACACGACUAAUAUUUCGUAAUGAAAUAUUUAGGGAAAAUAAGAAUUAACUAACAUUAAUAAGAAAUAAAACUUUAAAUCUACUUCCUAAUCAUAAGACCCGAUUUGAUAACUCUCUCAAAGAAAGCCUAAUGGGUGCAUGGGGUUUUAAAGGGACUAAAACUGGCUAUUAUAUUUCAGUUAUUUGCAUGAAUUUGAUUCACUAUAGGAUACCCUUUUACUCCCUCUAUGCAUAAAUGAUUAUCGCAUUAUAUUUGUACCAAAAUACCUACUGUAAAUGUAAUUUUGCUCCCUUACCAUCAAUAAGUCAAUUAAUUAAGGCUUUCAAGGAAAUGUUACAACAUUAUCUAAAUCCAUGAUUAUAAUUUCCAAAUUGAAGUAGGAGUAGCAAAUUCUUUAAAGCUUUUAUUUAGAUUAAAAUGGAUUUUUUUCUUUUCCUUUUAUAAAGGCUUUAAUUUAAUUUAGAAUCUAUUACUAUAUACUAAAAGAGACACCAGGAAUGACACAUGUCACUUCUGGUGAAAAAAUUUCCCGCCAAAAACUCUUUCCUAAAAAGACAUGCAUAUCUACUUUAUUCUUUUUUUUAUUUUCUCUCCUUUUAUAUAAAUGUUAAUAUAUGGAAAAAAAAAAUAUAGGAUCAUGGAAUAUGCCAUUAUUAGAAAAUUUUGGUAAUAUUUUAGUCAAAUUGUCAUAUCUAUAAUAGAAAAUAUUCUUAAUCAAUAUAUUGGUCAAAUUAGCAUAUUAAAUAUAUCAAAUAUAUCAAAUAUUUUAGCCAUAUCAUAAUGUUAAACAUAUAAAAUAUAUAAUACGUAGUAGGUUAAAAUUGUAUAUUAUAUGAUAAAAUGAGUACAUUCGAGAUUAUUAAUUACGCAAUAGAUUUAAGGAAUAAAUAAUUCAAUUAAAAUUUUUUAUAAAAAAUAUAGUCAAAUAAUAUUUUUUAAAUAUCCAUGCGUGCACGGGACCUAAUCUAGUAAGUUAAAUAUUUUCUUUUUAUGCUUGUUAACCAAAAAAAAUGCUUUAAUUUUAUUUUGAUAAUUAUUUUUAUCCAAUUUUUCAGUCUGGAUAUUUCUAGAUCCCUCUCUUGUUUCUAUCUUCCCAUAUCUCCUGUCUCUCUCCUCAUAUUUCCAUUUUUCUUUCUCUCUCUUCUCGUCUAUCUCCUUUCUCUAUCCUCUAUCCCAUUCUGGAUCUCGUCUAUCUUCUUUCUCUCUCCUCUACUCCCUCAUAUUUUCUGGAUCCAUCUCUCGUCUCUCCCCUUCCUCUCUUCUCUAUCCCCUCAUAUUUCGUCGCCAUUGUUGGAAACCACCUCUAUUUUCGGAUUUCACAAAAAUAAUCUAUAUAAUUCUGGGUUUUAUCAAGUUCAAUCAACCAUUUGUACCCAAAAUGGUGAUUAUAAACUCUUGGAUCUCGCAUGCAUCGCCAACUCUUGGAUCUCGCACACUUUAGCAGAAAUGGUACAACAAAACAAAACUAUUCUAUCAUCUAUUUGCUGCACGGAUUAGUCUCCCCUCCUCUCUAUUAACUAUGAGAAGGAAUUAGAAGAAGAUAUUACUUACGUGUAUUGGCGCAACUUGAAGAGGAAUGGUGAUGGAAUUUUUCUGGGAUUUUUCGGUUUUAGUUUUCUGGGUGUAGACUGAUUUUGAUUUAAUUCAGUCGAAUGUCAAUAUGAUUUAAUUUUUGCAACUGUGAUAAUUUGUAAUAAGAUCUUCUUGGUUGGGUUUAUGCGUGAUUUUUGGUUGGGUUUAUGCGUGAUUUUCUUGGUUGUGGGUUUAUGCAUGAUUUUCUUGGCUGUGUAUAUGCGUGACUUUCCUUAUUUUCUCUUUAUUUUGACUUUUUUGACAGAUUUUCUGUUUAUGAAAAUUUACAGAAUAACAGG